rnacentral:rRNA from 1 species
GUYUUUUUGUUAAAAAUUUAAAGUCGGGCCUGCCCACUGAAAUUUUUAAUGGCCGUGGUACUUUGACCAUGCUAAGGUAGCAUAAUAAUUAGUUUUUUAAUUGAAAGCUGGAAUGAAAGGUUUGAUAAAAAAAUGACUGUCUCUAUUUAAUUUUAUUAAAAAUUUAUUUUUAAGUUCAAAAGCUUAAUUUUAAUUAAAAGACGAGAAGACCCUAUAGAGUUUAAUAAUUUAAGAUAAUUUAUAUUUUGGAAUUAAUUUAUUUAUUUUUUUAAUAUUAUUUAAUUGGGGUGAUUGAAAAAUUUAAUUAACUUUUUUUAUAUUUAACCAUUAAUUUAUGAUAAUUUGAUCCAAUUUUUUGAUUAUAAGAUAAAAUUACCUUAGGGAUAACAGCGUAAUUUUUUUAGAAAGUUCAAAUUAAAAGAAAAGGUUGCGACCUCGAUGUUGGAUUAAAAUUAAAUUUUGGUGUAGAAGCUAAAAAUUUUAAGUCUGUUCGACUUUUAAAAUUUUACA